GGGAUUGCAGUGGCAAAGCUAGGCUAGGUCUUGGAGGCUGGUGUAAGGCGAAGCGGGUGAAGGCAGGAGGGCUGAUGGAGAGACUGGGGGGAAGAAAAGCCGAAAUGGAUUCAUGGUGCCUUGGAUGGAGGACGAGAGGAGAAUUGCAAGCUCCUUCAACUCGUUCUGUCCGGUGAGAAGUGAUCAAGCUUGGGCUGACAAGAGGCUCAGGGAGCCCUCACGUUCUUUUGCUUUUUUACCUGCCAAUCAAACUGCUACAAGACAACACCCUGAUCUGGCAUGGACAUCGUGGGUCCAAGCCUGUAGCCCCAAAUCGGAUAAUCUCUGCAGCUGAUAACAAGCAAAAGAGAAGCCAGGCAACAGCCAUAUUAAAGAAGAAAACAAUCAACUCUGAGCACUGUGGAAGCUGUUUCUGUCGAAGAGGUCAGAAAUAGAAGAUAAAACCCUUGACGGUGCAUCUGCUGAUCAAGCACAAAGCAGUCAGGAAGUAGGGGUGAGGGUGUAGGUAUUUCCCUGCCAUCCUUACGAAGUCCCCCUCAAGCUACAUUGGAUGUUCACAUAGGAAAUGAUCAACACUCUUCAGUGUGCACAGGCCUACAGAAGACUUUCAGAGGGGCUGACAGACUGUGGACCCAUCAACUGGCUUCCUUGCCCUCCAGCUUCCAGUAGGCUUCAGCCAAGGAGACAUGGGGAAGAAAUGAAAGGAAGAAGACUAAGAUUGGGUCUUUAUUGGAGUAUUUAUUGCCUUGAUGGAAGAUCCAGCACCUGUUGGGUGACUUUCUCACAGAGAUCUGUGUGCCCUUCCUUUCCCGUGAUCAAAGCACUGAGAUGGGGCCCUGAAGCUGGGUUAGACCAAGCAACCUUCCACUGCGCUACAAAGAGGCUAACUCAGAAUGAACACAAGGUCCUUCCCUGUCUUGAAAUUUUGAAGUCUGCUAACAUUUUUUCUAAGAGGUAGGAAACAGCAGAAGGGGAAGCAGAUACAAAAGUAGAGGGAGAGUGAAUGUGAAAAGGAAGAGCAGUGGUCUAGGGCAUCGCUGGGAGGGGUUAGGGGGUCUGGCACAGAGGGUCAUGGGUGAAGUGGCAGGAGAUGCUGUUGGGAAGGAGAGCUGGGGCUGGCAUCUUACUGGAUGCUGAAGCACAUAGCACAGCUCCGAAAACAGUGAAAUUCAAUCAAGGGAGCUGAAUCUUACAGUAUGUUGAAGAUUCAAGCUGUCUUUGUUAAAAGAUUCAUCUUCCUAAUUAGACUGUGAGCACUACAAGGUUAGUGAUUGUUUUCCACAUUUGUAGGGUCCUGCACAGUACCUGGCAUAUGGUAAUGGUGUAUAAACCCCUG
rnacentral:lncRNA from 1 species